GAGAAGCUUGCUUCUCUUGAGAGCGGCGGACGGGUGAGUAAAGCCUAGGAAUCUGCCUGGUAGUGGGGGAUAACGUUCGGAAACGGACGCUAAUACCGCAUACGUCCUACGGGAGAAAGCAGGGGACCUUCGGGCCUUGCGCUAUCAGAUGAGCCUAGGUCGGAUUAGCUAGUUGGUGAGGUAAUGGCUCACCAAGGCGACGAUCCGUAACUGGUCUGAGAGGAUGAUCAGUCACACUGGAACUGAGACACGGUCCAGACUCCUACGGGAGGCAGCAGUGGGGAAUAUUGGACAAUGGGCGAAAGCCUGAUCCAGCCAUGCCGCGUGUGUGAAGAAGGUCUUCGGAUUGUAAAGCACUUUAAGUUGGGAGGAAGGGCAUUAACCUAAUACGUUAGUGUUUUGACGUUACCGACAGAAUAAGCACCGGCUAACUCUGUGCCAGCAGCCGCGGUAAUACAGA
rnacentral:rRNA from 1 species